GCAACCUCUGCUACAAGUAAGCCGAAUGAUUUUCCUUGCUCUGGUCUCCAGAGAAGUGACAUGAUAUGUCCCUAGUUGAUAUGGACAGCUAACACAAAAGGACUUUCAGCUCCAAAUGCAGGCAAAGUACUAUGAAGACACCCCUGAUCUCGACAAGAGGCGAAACAUUCAGAGAAAUGCACAUUUCAGGGAUGGCCAGCCAGACAGGAGGCUGAUUUUUACUAAGGAGGAGAAGGAGGCCGUGCUGACCAAGAUGCAUGCAGGCCAUUUCAGUGAAGCGCAUGAUUGCCAAAAUCAACCUACGCUUCUUCUGACAGGGAAUUGUCAAGGAGAUGGACAGCUGGGCAAGUGAAAUAAUCUUUUGUUUAUACAUUUUAUGAUUAUGAUUUCAAUGAUUGUCACAUCAGAGAGCACACAAUGUUUCAAUUUUUUGCUUAAAAGUCAGUACCCAGUCUAGCCUGCCAGAAGUUUGAGAAGGCGAAGACUAUGGCGCCGGAGUUGAAGCCCAUCAAAGUUGUUUCAACAUGGCACAUGAUCAGCAAGUGUCCCAAUUCAAAUUUGCACUGAUAAGUUGUUUUGUAAUGGUUGCUUUAUUUGACCACAGCAGAGUUCAAUAUUAUAGAUGUGUGUGUGUGUGUGUGUGUGUGUGUGUGUGUGUGUGUGUGUGUGUGUGUGUGUGUGUGUGUGUGUGUCAGUAUCCUUACAAAUAUGAACAUCUGUAUACUGUAUGACACAGAUACGGGUAAGUAUAAAGAAAUCUUCUCUCUAACACUUUAAAUGUUAGGGUUGGACUUCAUCGAUCUCUUCACGAAACCCAGGAAUGGCAACAGCUGGUGUCUGACGGCGACCGAUCACUUUACCAAGUGGGUGGAGGGCAAGGAAAUACCCAUUAAGGAUGAGACAAGCGAGGCCACCUCCAAGGCGAUGGUGGACAUCUUCAACACCUACGGUUCUCCUGAGCUCAUCUAGAGUGACUGAGGUCAUGAACGCUGGAACAAGUUUGGUGACUGGACCAACCAGACCAUCAAGACUGCCAUGGGCAAGUCCCUUGAUUGCUACCAGGAAGGUUGGGAGAACUACCUGAUGGUAAUUCUCAUUGCACACAGCAGCAGCAUCUAGGCCUCCACCGAGUACGGACGGGAACCGCAGCUGUUGACUGAGAUCUCUGAAACCCCAUCUGUAGUUGUCGAAUCAGAUGAGAACGCCUUCGAGGACCACUUUCAGGCACGGACGGAGAAGGAUGUGGAGGUUUUUGACCAGGUGAGACUGAACAUGGACAAGGUGCAGGAGAAUCAGAAGGAGAGCCACCGGAGCAGAAUAAAGAAGGGGACCAAGUGCCAUGACAUCUGGGUGAAUGACUUGGUUUGGAAGAAGGACGAAAGGAAGGCGAGACCUGGGAAACCUCACCGUUAUUUCGCUCCUAGCUGGGGUCACCAUCUGUUAAAGUGAAUAUAAAAAAAUCUCUCAUAAUAACUAUUUUCUUUUGCUCACAAAAUAACCUGAAGCUAGUUUUAGUUUCCCUAAUACUGAUAUUUUUCUCUUUGUCAAUCUAUGGUUACCUCGGUGGAAGCCAACAAUCUUCUACAGUUGGAGCAGUUGGACGGUCGACCACCGAAAGCCCUGACACUCUACACUUCAGUGAAGCCCAAUAGACAAACUAUGUUAAGCUUUGGUUGACAUUUGAGAAAGCAAGAAAUUGUCGUUAUGCUUAUAAAAAUGUACCUCUUCAAUUUACCUCUCCAAAUGACUUUAGGACCAUCGACUGUCAGAGCCCCCCAGGAAGUAUCCCAUCCACCAGAACAAGUGAGUUCGGAUCAGUCUGAUUCUCUGUGCUCUGAGUCAGAGGAGGGCCAGCUUGAGGACCUAGGGGUUCUGCCCAACACCCAGAUGUUACAUCAUCUACAGCUACUGUUGUUGUCAUGUUGUCAAUAUCUGCUAAGAAAGUUUUUUGCUCUAUCAUACUGGGCACAUAAUAUGUGAAAUACACAGAUGAAGUAAAAGCACUAGCACUGCAAACACAGAACAAGCAGUUCCUGGACUUUGGAGUCUCCCUCUUCAAGUCCCCGUUCUGAGACAGGCUGGCUAUUGAGAACAAGUGACAGGCAGAACCUCCCGCCCACACAGCAACCAUGACCUCUAUAUUCCACAAACCAGAAUUCUGUAUUUUAGUCUAUGAUUGCCGUGUGAGUGUACAAAAAAUCUGCGAAAAUAAAUGAAUGACACAGCUGUACCAAAAACUAUCGAAGUUUAUGUAUUAAAAUCUUAAA